UACGAAGGGGGCUAGCGUUGUUCGGAAUUACUGGGCGUAAAGCGCACGUAGGCGGCUCGCUCAGUCAGGGGUGAAAUCCCCGGGCUUAACCUGGGAACUGCGUUUGAAACUACAAGGCUAGAGUGUGGCAGAGGGGAGUGGAAUUCCACGUGUAGCAGUGAAAUGCGUAGAGAUGUGGAGGAACACCGAUGGCGAAGGCAGCCCCCUGGGUCAAGACUGACGCUCAGGCACGAAAGCGUGGGGAGCAAACAGG
rnacentral:rRNA from 1 species